rnacentral:tRNA from 1 species
GCCUGGGUGGCUCAGUCGGUUAAGCGUCUGACUUCGGCUCAGGUCAUGAUCUCACAGUUUGUGGGUUCGAGCCCCACAUCGGGCU